AGCUCUCACAACCAUAACUACGACUUCUGGUGAUACCCAACGGCCAACUACUGAAGCUCUCACAACCAUUUCUACGACUUCUGGUAACACCCAACGUCCAACGACUGAAGCUCUCACAACAAUAUCUACGACUUCUGGAGAUACCAACCGG